rnacentral:rRNA from 1 species
UACGAAGGGGGCUAGCGUUGCUCGGAAUCACUGGGCGUAAAGCGUGCGCAGGCGGUUUUGUAAGCCAGAUGUGAAAUCCCCGGGCUUAACCUGGGAAUGGCAUUUGGGACUGCAAGGCUCGAGUGCGGCAGAGGAGACUGGAAUUCCUGGUGUAGCAGUGAAAUGCGUAGAUAUCAGGAGGAACACCGAUGGCAAAGGCAGGUCUCUGGGCUGACACUGACGCUCAUGCACGAAAGCGUGGGGAGCAAACAGG